rnacentral:lncRNA from 10 species
GGACAAAGUAAGCAGAAGCUUGUAUGUGCAGCACUCAGCAUUCAUGGCGUGAGAAAUGUUUAUCAAAGAAGAACACACUGAAGUGUGGUAAGAACAAGGAAAGAAAUAAAAGGAAAGUGAGAUCAUUAUCAGGUUUACUGACACUUAAAGGGAAAAAAAAGGAAAGAAAGAGACAGAGGUAAUCCUAAUAAGAGAAAGAGAGAGGGCAAUCCUAAUGAGAGAGAGGAGAGAGAGAGAAUCCUAAUGAGAGAGAGACAGAGGAGAGAGAGAGAGGGCAAUCCUAAUGAGAGAGAGGGGAGACAGAGAGAGAGAGAGAGAGAGAGAGAGAGAGAGAAUCCUAAUGAGAGACAGAGGAGAGAGAGAGAGAAGGCAAUCCUAAUGAGAGAGAGAGAGAGAGCAAUCCUAAUGAGAGAGAGAGAGAGAGAGAGAGAGGGCAAUCCUAAUGAAAGAGAGAGAGAGAAAGAGAGCAAGAGAGAAGGCAAUCCUAGUAAGAGAAAGAGAGAGAGAGAGAGAAGGCAAUCCUAAUAAGUGAGAGAGAGAUAAAGAGAGAGAGAGAGAGAAGGCAAUCCUAAUAAGUGAGAGAGAGAUAAAGAGAGAGAGAGAGAGAAAGGCAAUCCUAGUAAGAGAAAGAGAGAGAGAGAGAAGGCAAUCCUAAUAAGAGAGAGAGAGAAGGCAAUCCUAAUGAGAGAAAGAGAGAGAGAGAGACAGACAGAGAUAGAGAAAAGGCAAUCCUAAUAAGAGAAAGAGAGAGAAGGCAGUCCUAAUGAGAGAAAGAGAGUGAGAGAGACAGAGAGAGAGAGAGAGAGAGAGAGAGAGAGAGAGAGAGAAGGCAAUCCUAAUAAGAGAGAGAGAGAAGGCAAUCCUAAUGAGAGAGAGAGAGAGAGAGAGAAGGCAAUCCUAAUGAGAGAAAGAGAGAGAAUCCUAAUGAGAAAGAGAAAGAGAAGGCAAUCCUAAAGAGAGAGGAGAGGAGAGAGAGACAGAGAGAGAGAACAAUCCUAAUUUGAGAGAGAAGGAGAGAAAGAGGAGAUAGAAGGCAAUUCUCAUAAGAGAAAACAAAUAGAGGAAAACAGGGGCA